CACGCAGUAAACGAUGAUUACUCGCUGUUUGCGAUACACAGUAAGCGGCUUAGCGAAAGCGUUAAGUAAUCCACCUGGGGAGUACGUUCGCAAGAAUGAAACUCAAAGGAAUUGACGGGGGCCCGCACAAGCGGAGGAACAUGUGGUUUAAUUCGAUGAUACGCGAGGAACCUUACCCGGGCUCGAACGGUGCAUGAAUAUAUGAGAGAUUGUAUAGUCUUCGGACAUGCAUCGAGGUGC
rnacentral:rRNA from 1 species